UGCCGAAACCCGGGAUCGAAACAGGGACCUUUAGAUAUUCAGUCUAACGCUCUAAAGCUAUUUCGGC